rnacentral:lncRNA from 1 species
UUCUCUAACGUCUCUCUCACUGAAAAUGCCAGCCUGUGAGUGGCUUUCAUCACUUCAAGAACUCGCCACGUCACCCUAGGUGAAGUUACCAUAAGGGCCUAAGGCUCCUCCUCUUGUUCCAGUCCUUCCCCCUUUUGUUAAAUUGUUAUUAGCUACAUAGUUGGGGGGCUAUUAUUAAGAUUUGGCCAACAAUAUCAUUCACUCUUGUCAGAAGUGGAGUUCUUUGAAAUUCUUUCUUCGUUCUUGAGGCCAGCAAGCAAACUCCAAAAACAAACCAGAACCUAUCUAAAAGAUUCACUUAAAAGAGAACCACAAGACCCUACAAGAUAAUGGAAGAAUCUUUAGCUGAACCAGAACCAGGAGAUGAAGUGGUGAAACGCAAGUUCUUCCUCAGUUAUGGCACUCUCUAAGCUUCCUCUCUCCACUAUCUUCUUCUUGUUGUACACUUCGCUUUUUACAAUAUCACAAGGUAAUUGACAGAAACCCACUUGUUUAUCCACUUUUUCAAGAAACUAAGAACAACCCUUUUGUGAUUCUCUUGUUUUUGUGUCAAAUUUGCAGCUUUAUCAUCGAAAAUAGCAGUGGCGCAAAAUCAAGCCCAAAACGACGUCGAUUAACGUCUAUUAAGUAUAAAAAAAAGAGACCGGGUCUCAGGCGGGUUUGACCGGGUGGCCCGGGUCCCGAGUCGACC